AGUGAACGCUGGCGGUAGGCCUAACACAUGCAAGUCGAACGGCAGCACAGUAAGAGCUUGCUCUUACGGGUGGCGAGUGGCGGACGGGUGAGGAAUACAUCGGAAUCUACUUUUUCGUGGGGGAUAACGUAGGGAAACUUACGCUAAUACCGCAUACGACCUACGGGUGAAAGCAGGGAUCUUCGGACCUUGCGCGAUUGAAUGAGCCGAUGUCGGAUUAGCUAGUUGGCGGGGUAAAGGCCCACCAAGGCGACGAUCCGUAGCUGGUCUGAGAGGAUGAUCAGCCACACUGGAACUGAGACACGGUCCAGACUCCUACGGGAGGCAGCAGUGGGGAAUAUUGGACAAUGGGCGCAAGCCUGAUCCAGCCAUACCGCGUGGGUGAAGAAGGCCUUCGGGUUGUAAAGCCCUUUUGUUGGGAAAGAAAAGCAGCAGGUUAAUACCCCGCUGUUCUGACGGUACCCAAAGAAUAAGCACCGGCUAACUUCGUG
rnacentral:rRNA from 1 species